rnacentral:rRNA from 1 species
UUAGAGUUUGAUCCUGGCUCAGGACGAACACUGGCGGCGUGCUUAACACAUGCAAGUCGAACGGAAAGGCCCUGCUUUUGUGGGGUGCUCGAGUGGCGAACGGGUGAGUAACACGUGAGUWACCUGCCCUUGACUUUGGGAUAACUUCAGGAAACUGGGGCUAAUACCGGAUAGGAGCUCCUGCUGCAUGGUGGGGGUUGGAAAGUUUCGGCGGUUGGGGAUGGACUCGCGGCUUAUCAGCUUGUUGGUGGGGUAGUGGCUUACCAAGGCUUUGACGGGUAGCCGGCCUGAGAGGGUGACCGGCCACAUUGGGACUGAGAUACGGCCCAGACUCCUACGGGAGGCAGCAGUGGGGAAUAUUGCACAAUGGGCGGAAGCUGAUGCAGCAACGCCGCGUGCGGGAUGACGGCCUUCGGGUUGUAAACCGCUUUCGCCUGUKACGAAGCGUGAGUUACGGUAAUGGGUAAAGAAGCACCGGCUAACUACGUGCCAGCAGCCGCGGUGAUACGUAGGGUGCGAGCGUUGUCCGGAUUUAUUGGGCGUAAAGGGCUCGUAGGUGGUUGAUCGCGUCGGAAGUGUAAUCUUGGGGCUUAACCCUGAGCGUGCUUUCGAUACGGGUUGACUUGAGGAAGGUAGGGGAGAAUGGAAUUCCUGGUGGAGCGGUGGAAUGCGCAGAUAUCAGGAGGAACACCAGUGGCGAAGGCGGUUCUCUGGGCCUUUCCUGACGCUGAGGAGCGAAAGCGUGGGGAGCGAACAGGCUUAGAUACCCUGGUAGUCCACGCUGUAAACGGUGGGUACUAGGUGUGGGGUCCAUUCCACGGGUUCCGUGCCGUAGCUAACGCUUUAAGUACCCCGCCUGGGGAGUACGGCCGCAAGGCUAAAACUCAAAGGAAUUGACGGGGCCCCGCACAAGCGGCGGAGCAUGCGGAUUAAUUCGAUGCAACGCGUAGAACCUUACCUGGGUUUGACAUGGAUCGGGAGUGCUCAGAGAUGGGUGUGCCUCUUUUGGGGUCGGUUCACAGGUGGUGCAUGGCUGUCGUCAGCUCGUGUCGUGAGAUGUUGGGUUAAGUCCCGCAACGAGCGCAACCCUUGUUCACUGUUGCCAGCACGUUAUGGUGGGGACUCAGUGGAGACCGCCGGGGUCAACUCGGAGGAAGGUGGGGAUGACGUCAAGUCAUCAUGCCCCUUAUGUCCAGGGCUUCACGCAUGCUACAAUGGCUGGUACAGAGAGUGGCGAGCCUGUGAGGGUGAGCGAAUCUCGGAAAGCCGGUCUCAGUUCGGAUUGGGGUCUGCAACUCGACCUCAUGAAGUCGGAGUCGCUAGUAAUCGCAGAUCAGCAACGCUGCGGUGAAUACGUUCCCGGGGCUUGCACUCACCGCCCGUC